AGGAUGAACGCUAGCGGCAGGCCUAAUACAUGCAAGUCGAACGGUCAGUAGCAAUACUGAAUAGUGGCGCACGGGUGCGUAACACGUAACUAACCUACCUAUACCUGGGGGAUAGCCCGCCGAAAGGCGGAUUAAUACCGCAUAAGGCUUGAGACUGGCAUCAGUUUUUAGUUAAAGAUUUAUUGGGUAUAGAUGGGGUUGCGGGUCAUUAGCUAGUUGGUAAGGUAACGGCUUACCAAGGCGACGAUGACUA
rnacentral:rRNA from 1 species